rnacentral:rRNA from 1 species
UACAGAGGGUGCAAGCGUUAAUCGGAAUUACUGGGCGUAAAGCGUGCGUAGACGGUUAUGUAAGUCGGGUGUGAAAGCCCCGGGCUCAACCUGGGAAUUGCAUUCGAGACUGUGUAGCUAGGGUACGGAAGAGGGAAGCGGAAUUUCAGGUGUAGCGGUGAAAUGCGUAGAUAUCUGAAGGAACACCAGUGGCGAAGGCGGCGCUCUGGACCGAGACUGACGCUGAGGCGCGAAAGCGUGGGGAGCAAACAGG